GACGAAGGGGGCUAGCGUUGUUCGGAAUUACUGGGCGUAAAGCGCGUGUAGGCGGUUGUUCAAGUCAGGUGUGAAAGCCUUGAGCUCAACUCAAGAAAUGCACUUGAUACUGGAUGACUAGAGGACCGGAGAGGAUAGUGAAUUCCCAGUGUAGUGGUGAAAUACGUAGAGAUUGGGAAGAACACCAGUGGCGAAGGCGGCUAUCUGGACGGUUUCUGACGCUAAGACGCGAAAGCGUGGGGAGCAAACAGG
rnacentral:rRNA from 1 species